AUUGAACGCUGGCGGCAUGCCUUACACAUGCAAGUCGAACGGCAGCACGGGUGCUUGCACCUGGUGGCGAGUGGCGAACGGGUGAGUAAUACAUCGGAACGUACCUUAUCGUGGGGGAUAACGCAGCGAAAGCUGCGCUAAUACCGCAUACGCCCUGAGGGGGAAAGCGGGGGAUCGCAAGACCUCGCGCGAUUAGAGCGGCCGAUGCCUGAUUAGCUUGUUGGUGGGGUAAAAGCCUACAAAGGCGACGAUCAGUAGCUGGUCUGAGAGGACGAUCAGCCACACUGGGACUGAUACACGGCCCAGACUCCUACGGGAGGCAGCAGUGGGGAAUUUUGGACAAUGGGGGCAACCCUGAUCCAGCAAUGCCGCGUGAGUGAAGAAGGCCUUCGGGUUGUAAAGCUCUUUUGUCAGGGAAGAAACACCGGCUCUAACACAGUCCGGGAAUGACGGUACCUGAAGAAUAAGCACCGGCUAACUACGUGCCAGCCGCCGCGGUAA
rnacentral:rRNA from 1 species